rnacentral:rRNA from 1 species
UCCUACGGGGCGCAGCAGUGGGGGAUAUUGCACAAUGGAGGAAACUCUGAUGCAGCGACGCCGCGUGAGGGAAGACGGUCUUCGGAUUGUAAACCUCUGUCUUUGGGGAAGAAAAUGACGGUACCCAAAGAGGAAGCUCCGGCUAACUACGUGCCAGCAGCCGCGGUAAUACGUAGGGAGCGAGCGUUGUCCGGAUUUACUGGGUGUAAAGGGUGCGUAGGCGGCCCUGCAAGUCAGAAGUGAAAUCCAUGGGCUUAACCCGUGAACUGCUUUUGAAACUGCAGGACUUGCGUGGAGUAGAGGUA